rnacentral:misc_RNA from 1 species
GAUGAAGAACGCAGCGAAAUGCGAUAAGUAAUGUGAAUUGCAGAAUUCAGUGAAUCAUCGAAUCUUUGAACGCACAUUGUGCCCCUUGGUAUUCCGAGGGGCAUGCCUGUUCGAGCGUCAUUAUAACCCCUCAAGCUCAGCUUGGUGUUGGGGCCUGCCGCACGGGCAGCCCUUAAAAUCAGUGGCGGUGCCAUCUGGCUCUGAGCGUAGUAAUUCUUCUCGCUAUAGAGUUCCGGUGGAUGCUUGCCAUUAACCCCCAAUUUUCUAUGGUUGACCUCGGAUCAGGUAGGGAUACCCGCUGAACUUAAGCAUAUCAAUAAGCGGAGGA